AGGAGUCGAAGGACUAGAAUGAG
rnacentral:piRNA from 1 species